GGGCCCGUAGCUUAGCUUGGUGGAGCGCACGCCUUAUAAGCGUGAGGUCCUGGAUUCAAAUUCCGGCGGGCCCA
rnacentral:tRNA from 1 species